AUGGCAAAGGUAGAGGCUCGUGUGGAGACGGUCAAAUCAAUGGUCAUUGUUGCAGAGAUUGAAGGUCCUGGAUACUGCAGUGGGUUUGUCGCAUUCACUGAAAAGCAAUAUGGUACCCAUAUUGUAACUGAUGAUAAUUUUGUCAAGGGACGUGAGCGCAGCUUAAAGGUUUUCUUUUUUGACAACACUGUGCUGCGAGCAUCAAUUAUUCACAGAGGGGGCGGUUUUUGUUCCCUGAGGACAAAGUUUCAUUCCACAUGUGAGCAAAUUCAGUUGAUCAAAGGGAAUACUAUCCCCUCACCUGCGCUCCUCUUCCCACCAUCCUCAUCAACUACUUUCUAUCAUCUUCCGAGUUUUGUUACUCUGGAAUCUGCCGAGUCAUAUCCUCUCAACCUCGAAUCCACUCGCAUUCUUCCCACUGAUCAGGUUCCUACUUUAGCACGCAUGUUCGUGGUAGAUUGCCACUACACUGAAGAAACCUCUGACCGUGUUGACAGGUUAUCUUCUGCUCCAGUAUAUACCUUGAGCGGAAGCGUUGUGGGCAUAGUCGUAGGACGUUUCCGUGACUCUACUUGGAAGAAGCUAGCAUUGUCUGCAAAACAUGUCUCGACAUUGAUAGAUUCACUCAUUGCAGUAUCUAGAAACAAGAAAACAAGAGAUGGAAAUGGCAGUUCUGGAAACAAGGAAAAGAGAGAUGGAGAUGGCAGUUAUAAGGAUGAGUUUGCUGGUAACAAGAGAAGCAAGGGUGGAGAUGGCAAUUACAAGAAGUUGGCUGGAAACAAGAACAGCUCUAACAGCAGUUCCAAGGACAAGGCGAAUAAGGGGGCUUGGCACAAGAGCAGUUUCAAGGGCAAGUUGGGUGGAUGUGAGACCAGUUGCAAUGUGAAGACAAGGGGGAGAAGAGCUGGAGACAAGGGUAAGAAGUCGGAUGCUAGCAAAUGGCUCCAUGGGUCGAGAGUGCAUAACAGGUGCUCCUUCAAAAAUAGAGCAUUUGCUCAAAAACAAAUUCUUAAGAAAAGCAGAUCUUUUCCAUCUGCCACUGUACAGGCAUAUAUGAGCUGGGAUCUGAUCAAUUUGAAGCGAAUUUGGGAUGGGUCCGGCCUGUCGGAUUUGAUGUGGCGGACUCGUAUGGGCGUCCUCAUGUGUGUCCCACAUAUGAGCUUGGUUUGA
rnacentral:rRNA from 1 species